rnacentral:rRNA from 1 species
AUUGAACGCUGGCGGCAUGCCUUACACAUGCAAGUCGAACGGUAACAGGUCUUCGGACGCUGACGAGUGGCGAACGGGUGAGUAAUACAUCGGAACGUGCCCAGUCGUGGGGGAUAACUACUCGAAAGAGUAGCUAAUACCGCAUACGAUCUGAGGAUGAAAGCGGGGGACCUUCGGGCCUAGCGCGAUUGGAGCGGCCGAUGGCAGAUUAGGUAGUUGGUGGGAUAAAAGCUUACCAAGCCGACGAUCUGUAGCUGGUCUGAGAGGACGACCAGCCACACUGGGACUGGGACACGGCCCAGACUCCUACGGGAGGCAGCAGUGGGGAAUUUUUGACAAUGGGCGAAAGCCUGAUCCAGCAAUGCCGCGUGCAGGAUGAAGGCCUUCGGGUUGUAAACUGCUUUUGUACGGAACGAAAAAGUCUCCUCUAAUACAGGAGGCCCAUGACGGUACCGUAAGAAUAAGCACCGGCUAACUACGUGCCAGCCGCCGCCGUAACAC